AGGGAGGAAAAGACUACAUGUGAAAGAAACUUCUGGAAAUAUGCCACAGAGACAGCUGAUUAAACUAUACCCGAAUUGCAAUCAGUGACAGGGUCACUCAUCCACUCGAUUAAGGAAGGGCGUCACUAGGAUGGCAAUAAUCUCAUGCAGGAAGAUGACAGAAGGAUACAACUGAUGAUGAGAACAACCGGUCACAGGACAGAAAUGUAGUGAGGGUGGGCGACCACUGAGCCACAAACACAGGUUCAAAUUCCAGCUACAAGUCACAAGACAAAUGGUUGACCUUCUUCAAUGGUAACAAGGAGCUGACCAUUGUCAGGAUAUGCCUCACACAGCUACCAGUAAGGAUAGGACAAACCAAAAACAACAACAAAAAAAGAUGUAAUAGCAAUUCUAGAAUGUGUUGUUGCUAUGGUUUAGAUAAGUUUUCCCCAAAGUUCCAUCUGUUAAAAGCUUGAUGGUCAGUCCAUGACACUGAUGGGAGGUGAGAGAACCAAUAAGCAAUGGGGCAUAUCGUCUUGUAUCGUACCAUAGAUUGGCAUGGCAUGGCAUGCGCCUGGGGUAAGUGCUGCAGGAGAGAAACAACACUGAACAUUAAAGGACCUCAUGAACAGAACAUUUUGUCCCUGAAAGAAAGAAGAAGAAGAAAAUCUGGGAUGAGCCAGGUGCGC
rnacentral:lncRNA from 1 species